AUGAUGAAAUUGUCAACGAUGAAGGAGAGAUUGGAUGUUGGAGAUGCUACUUGGGAAGAGGAACUGUUGUUGAAAAGUCAAUUCCCUGAUUUGCGCCUUGAGGACAAGCCUAAUGUUGCAGGUGGUGGUGAUGAUAGAAAUGAAUCGGACCCCACAAGUGAUGAUGGGGGUGUGUUAGUUAACAGGGACAAUGUGGGGCCUAAACAGUGGAGGGUAUAUGUGAAAAAGAAUAAGAAAAGGAAGUAA